rnacentral:lncRNA from 1 species
CCUCAUAAUGAUCUGAUUAUUUAUAAAAAAAUAAUUACAUUUACAUUUACUCAUGUUUUCAUUUCUAUUGUAGGCGGUAAGGAAGGUGCGGCGGUGGAGUCGUGGGAGGAGGCAAACUAUGACCUGUAUAAAGUGGUGGACCGGUUCGGCUUCCUACAUCAGGAUGAACUUCCAGCCUAUAACUCCUUGGAGGAAAGGCAAAAGCAUGUUGAACUGGAAAGGACAGAAAAGUGGGUGAAGAUGCUGAAAAGCUGGGACAAGUACAAGAACAGCGAAAAGAUGGUAAGGAGGAUCUAUAAGGGAAUUCCGCUGCAGCUCCGGGGCCAGGUGUGGUGUUUGCUCCUCGACAUUCCCAAAAUCAGGGAGGAGAAGAAGGACUUCUAUGAGAUGAUCAAUGAGGUGUGUGUGUGUGUGUGUGUUUUCAGGCAGCAGGACCUGUUCCACGUCCUCACGGCGUACUCCAUGUAUAACAGGGAAGUGGGAUACUGUCAGGGAAUGAGUCAGAUCACAGCUCUCCUCCUGAUCUAUAUGAAUGAAGAGGAUGCGUUUUGGGCUCUGGUCAAACUACUGUCUGGACACAGGCACACCAUGCACGGAUUUUUUGUGGAUGGUUUUCCAAAGCUCUUACGCUUCCAGGAGCACCACGACCGCAUCCUGAAGAAGAUGAUGCCCAAGCUGAAGCAGCAUCUAGACAGUCAGGAGGUUUUCACCAGCCUGUACACCAUGAAGUGGUUCUUUCAGUGCUUUCUGGACCGUACCCCAUUCACAUUAACCCUUAGGAUAUGGGACAUUUACAUCCUGGAGGGGGAGCGAGUUCUGCCUGCCAUGUCCUACACCAUCCUCAAACUGCACAAAAAAACGCUGUUGAAGCUGUCUAUGGAGGAUCUGGUGGAGUUCCUGCAGGUGACUCUGUCGAAGGAAUUCUUCUUUGAAGAUGAUUUUGUAGUCGAGCAGCUCCAGAACAACAUGACUGAACUCAGACGCUCCAAACUCGAGCUUCCUCCAGCAGGUAAAGAUGAUGAGUUUCCGAAGAAGCCAUUGGGUCAGCUACCCCUGGAUCCGGCAGAAGCUGCCAAUCACGUUGCUAACGGGCAGAUGCCAGCCAGGCAGACGGUGGCAGACGGGCCGUCUGUUUUAGGCAUAGAAACGGGCGAAACUGCGAAUGGCUCACCAGAUCCCCACAGAGACAGUCGGCCGGCCAGCCGCGCUGGGAAAGACAGAGACUCUGCGGACAAAAUAAGCCGAACGGGGAAAGGCGAUAAACGAGAGGGGCGGAAAGGAGCUUCGGUGAUGCCGGCAACCCUGGGAACAGGCCUAACACCUGAGAAACACGGGCCCAACCAUGCUGGAGCCAAUCACAACUCAAACGCCGGCUCAAGCGGGCGCAAAGACGUCAUCACACCCCGCUGGGUCAAACCUUCGGAGAGCAAGCUGGAGCAGGCCAAAGCUGCUGCCUUGAGAGAGAGCCAGCAGAGCCUGACCACUGUCGUUCCUCCGUCUAGAGGUUUCACCCCUGGCUCCAACCGUGCCUCCAACGCCUCUCAAUACGACAACGUCCCAGGACCCAACGGAGAUUUCACUGAUGUUCCAGAGGUGGAACCAGACCGGCCACCUUCUCGUCCGUAUGGCUCUAAACAGGGAAGCCCAACAAGGCCCCCUAGUGGUGGAAUGGGAAUCUCCGCCCCGUCGUUCCGAGUCCCAAAACACACUCCAAUCCCACCCACCUCCGACAUCCGCCCACCAAUACACUACACUCCUGGCAUGACCCCUGUCUACUCCCCUUAUACAUCCAAAGUGCGCCCCCCAGAGGACAGAGGGUACGGGAUGACGUACGGCGAAAGGGCAUACAGUACCACGUCCCGAAUUUCGCCUGAGAAAAUAAAUCGCUCGCCAGAAAAAGGGCCGAUGAACAACAGCUAUGCUACCUACCGACAUCAAGCUAGAGAUGUUACCCCACUCCACGUGGCUCCUGCUGACUUUGGAGCUCGAAUGGACAACGUUGGAGCCAGGAUGGACAAUUUUGGAGGCCGAAUGGACCAUGUUGGACCCCGCAUUGACACUAUUGGACCUCGUAUGGACAAUUUUGGAGCCAGAAUAGAAAAUGUUGGAGGCCGUAUGGACAACAUUGGACCCCGAAUGGAUAAUAUGAGACUCCGAAUGGAAAACACCGGAGCAAGGAUGGACAGCACCAGCGAAAUCGGACACCACCCGAGACAGCCAACGCGGCUUUUAGGGUCCCCUGCUUUCACGCCAGCCGAGCAGCGAUUCGAAAGGCAGCGGCGAGGUGAAGGCUGGUAUGGAGAGAUGGCGGAGGGAGUGAUGGUGGGGCCUCUGCAUUCUCCAGGUGGGUUACCCCGCUCGCCCAGCUUCCAGAAAGCCCAGAUGUCUCCCGUCCACCCGGUCCAAGAGUUCACCUUCCCACCUGUGGGUGUCCCACGGCCCACUCUGUUUGGAGGAUCUCACUACAGACAGGCUCAGGAAGCCUUUGCCCUACAGGAAACCAUGCUGCUCUGA